rnacentral:tRNA from 1 species
GGUAAAGUAGGCUUAAGGUAGGCCAUUGGGCUCAUGAUUCACUAGUAUAGGUUCGAUUCCUAUCUUUACUU